GGACGGGGCCCGCACAAGCGGUGGAGCAUGUGGUUUAAUUCGACGCAACGCGAAGAACCUUACCAGGGCUUGACACUCCCCGACCGCGUAUGAAAGUACGUUUCACCUCGGGUGACAGGGAGACAGGUGGUGCAUGGUUGUCGUCAGCUCGUGUCGUGAGAUGUUGGGUUAAGUCCCGCAACGAGCGCAACCCUUAUCUUUAGUUACCAUCAUUCAGUUGGGGACUCUAAAGACACUGCCCCGGUCAACGGGGAGGAAGGUGGGAUGACGUCAAGUCCUCAUGGCCCUUAUGUCCAGGGCUACACACGUGCUACAAUGGGCAGUACAAAGGGCAGCGAGCCUGCGAAGGUGAGCCAAUCCCAAAAAGCUGUUCGUAGUUCGGAUUGGAGUCUGCAACUCGACUCCAUGAAGCUGGAAUCGCUAGUAAUCGCGGAUCAGCAUGCCGCGGUGAAUACGUUCCCGGGCCUU
rnacentral:rRNA from 1 species